GACGAACGCUGGCGGCGUGCUUAACACAUGCCAGUCGAACGGAAAGGCCCUGCUUUUGUGGGGUGCUCGAGUGGCGAACGGGUGAGUAACACGUGAGUAACCUGCCCUUGACUUUGGGAUAACUUCAGGAAACUGGGGCUAAUACCGGAUAGGAGCUCCUGCUGCAUGUUGGGGGUUGGAAAGUUUCGGCGGUUGGGGAUGGACUCGCAGCUUAUCAGCUUGUUGGUGGGGUAGUGGCGUACCAAGGCUUUGACGGGUAGCCGGCCUGAGAGGGUGACCGGCCACAUUGGGACUGAGAUACGGCCCAGACUCCUACGGGAGGCAGCAGUGGGGAAUAUUGCACAAUGGGCGGAAGCCUGAUGCAGCAACGCCGCGUGCGGGAUGACGUCCUUCGAGUUGUAAACCGCUUUCGCCUGUGACGAAGCGUGAGUGACGGUAAUGGGUAAAGAAGCACCGGCUAACUACGUG
rnacentral:rRNA from 1 species